rnacentral:rRNA from 1 species
GAUGAACGCUGGCGGCGUGCCUAAUACAUGCAAGUCGAGCGAACGGACGAGAAGCUUGCUUCUCUGAUGUUAGCGGCGGACGGGUGAGUAACACGUGGAUAACCUACCUGUAAGACUGGGAUAACUUCGGGAAACCGUAGCUAAUACCGGAUAAUAUUUUGAACCGCACGGUUCAAAAGUGAAAGACGGUCUUGCUGUCAGUUAUAGAUGGAUCCGCGCUGCAUUAGCUAGUUGGUCAGGUAACGGCCUACCACGGCCACGAGGUGUAGCCGACCUGGUAGCGUGUGCGCACACACUGGCGCUAAGACACGGUCGAGACUCCUAGGGGAGGCUGCAGUCGGGCAGCUUCCGCUAUGGGCGAGAGCCUUACAGAGACCCGCCGCAUGAGUGAUGAAGGCCUUGGGAUCGUAUAACUCUGUUAAUAGGGAGAAACGUAUGUGUCAGUAACAGGGCUCAUCUUGACGGUACCUAAUAAGAAAGCAACGGCCAACCACGUG